rnacentral:rRNA from 1 species
AUGCCCACUCCCACCUGCAGCCUGACUCGGAGACGUCAGCCAGGUUCUACUUUCCGUUCCGGUAAAUCACGGGUCAGAUCUCAGAUCGCUCCUUGGUCGGCACGAGUUGGUGACUCCCGAGGUGAACCAACAUCGCUGAAGAUUCGCCCAGCUAGCCGGCGGUGGGCAGGCCCUCGUCUGCAGAUCGAGCAGAGGUGCAAGCGGCAGCCCUUUGCCCUGCUCUUUCAUGUUGUUCAUCUUUCAACAUCUCCGGAUUUCUCUCCGUCCGGGCAGCAGGCGCGGCGAUCAAUGGACGACUAUCAAGGAUCUACUCAUGCUGCUACCGGCGUCGUGGCAAGAAUAUCUGAUGGUGAGUUUGUGCUAGCUGCUGCAAGGGGAUACGACAAUAUUCAAAAUCCCCUGACAGCUGAAACACUCGCUUUUAGAGAUGCAAUUACUGAAGCAGUCAAAGAAGGAUGGCAGCAUGUCCAUUUUGAAACAGCUUGUCAAAUAGGUAGUGGAGAAGCUAAGGAAAAUGCUAGUAACUUAGUUCCCCUUAAAGGCGACUGGUAUUGUUUGGUUGUUCCUUCACCAUAUGAUGCUUGA